UACGUAGGGUGCGAGCGUUGUCCGGAUUUACUGGGCGUAAAGGGCGCGUAGGCGGCGCAACAAGUCACUUGUGAAAUCUCCGGGCUUAACCCGGAGCGGUCAAGUGAUACUGUCGUGCUAGAGUGCGGAAGGGGCUACUGGAAUUCCAGGUGUAGCGGUGAAAUGCGUAGAUAUCUGGAGGAACACCGGUGGCGAAGGCGGCAUCCUGGACCGGCAUUGACGCUGAGGCGCGAAAGCCAGGGGAGCAAACGG
rnacentral:rRNA from 1 species